rnacentral:lncRNA from 1 species
GGUGGUUUGAUCACUUAAUGAAAUAAAUAAAAAGACAAUUUUUCUCCAAAGGGUAUUAUUAAAGUAAAGAAAUAAAUGGUAUAUAUUCAUCAUGAUCUUUAUUAUGAUUAUUAUGCUUCAUGUUGGGUGAGUUAGUUAAGAGUCUAAUCAGAAUAGCAAAAGCUUAUCUAGAUAACUCUGCCUGGUUAGGAACUACAGGCACUAAAAAAUUCCCAUGUAAGGAAUCAAUAACUCUGAAGUUCCCUUUACACCCUUCUUCUUGUGCCUGUGCCACUGCAAAAUUUUUUACUUCUUCAAUGUCCUGUAGUUAUAUAAUCAUCACACUCAGGCCAUAUAUGUGUAUGCAUAUAUUAUAUUCAUUACUUUUCUUAUAUUCAGUAGGAAAAUACGACAUUCAAAUAAAUUGCAAUUGCUCUCACCUUUAAGUAUCCUGUUGCUCUUGCAGCCAUCGCUUUCUUCUCAGUCUCCCAAUGGUGUGUCCUGCAUCAUCAUAUUAAAACUCUGUCAAUUUGUAACAAAAAUAAUGCAGAAAUUAACAAGUCACAUGUUUUCUUAUUUAGUCGAAUGCUUUUCCUGUUAUUAAUUAUUUGAGUAAGUCAAUUACUUAGUCGUAGUCUUGUGGUUAGUGGGUAAGUGUCGGAUAUUUAAGGGAUGUGUUUAUCUAUUUACUAAAUUAGUGAAAUUGUGGUUGCAGCGUGUAUAAAUUUGCCGGCCGAGAAUAAUCCAAGUGUAUUAGUUCUUCAGCAUUUUUGUUUUCUGCCCAUAAACUGUUUGAUAAAAUUCCUAAGCAAAUUUUCUAAUUUGCCACUCUGCCUCUCUUGAUUUUGUAGUCGAAGAGAAGCUCUUUGUUUAUUCAUAACCAGAAUUUAAACUAACACAAUUUCACAACUUGCUUGCAAAAUAUCAAAACCUAUUUUGCAGUCAAGAAUUUUCUAACUUGUUGCUCUGCUUCUCUUGAUUUUUGCAGUCAAGAGGAGAAGAUCUUUAUUUAUUCAUAACCAGAAUUUAAAUUAACACAAUUUCACAACUUGCUUGCCAAAUAUCAAAACCUACUUUUGCAUAUCAUCUACAAACUACCAUCCUCCAUUUUUGGGGAACACAGCAGGAAGGGGUUUUUCGAAACCUUACCCUAUCUUUCCAUAUAAACAUACUUAAACAACCAGUAAAAUUCAAGGAAUGAUAUAAUACAAAAGUAUUAUUGAACAUGUUAAUAUCAAUAAUAUGAAAAAGAAUUGCUGAACAAUCCCAAACCUAUUUUGAAAGAAACCAAGGUCUCUUUCGAAUUCCACAUAAUAAACAGAUAAAUUUCUAGUCAUAAUCACAGACUUCAUCUAAUAAUAAACAACUAAACCAAAAAUUAGGGAAAUACUUUUCUUUUCUGCCAAACAGCAAGUAAUUUUUUGGGUUGAUAUCAUCAGACAAAAAGAUGAGUAAAUCUUAAAAUACAAUUAGAAGGCGAGAAGAGGCUAACCCUUUAGCGAACUCACGAUCUAUCCUUCUCCUCUUGGGUUCAGAUGCCAUGAACGCAGGAGAGCUUACUGCCUUUCGCUUUCAACACAAUAAAAUCUGCAGGGGUUUAAAGAUGAAUCAUCAGCCGUUCAAAAUCAAAUCUGAAUUUCAAGUGGGACCCAAGAAGACAUUAGCGUCUGUGAUUGCAAACGAAGAAUUUGGCAUAUCAGAAGAUCAAAUGGCU